AUAUGCUUCUGCAAAGGUAGAGUCUCUAUGUAGGUGUGCUGGGGAUGAAGUGUGUGUCUGUGUGUGUGCUGGGGAUGUAGUGUGUCUGUGUGUGUGCAGGGGAUGUGGUAUGUGUCUGUGUGUAUGCUGGGGAUAUAGUAUGUGUCUGUGUGCGUUCUGGGGAUGUAGUAUAUGUCUGUGUGUGCUGGGGAUAUAGCAUGUGCCUGUGUGUAUGCUGGGGAUGUAGCUUGUGUCUGUGUGUGCACUGUAG